AGAGUUUGAUCCUGGCUCAGGACGAACGCUGGCGGCGUGCCUAACACAUGCAAGUCGAGCGAUGAAGUUCCCUUCGGGGAACGGAUUAGCGGCGGACGGGUGAGUAACACGUGGGCAACCUGCCUCAAAGAGGGGAAUAGCCUCCCGAAAGGGAGAUUAAUACCGCAUAAAAUUACGAAAUCGCAUGGUUUUGUAAUCAAAGGAGCAAUCCGCUUUGAGAUGGGCCCGCGGCGCAUUAGCUAGUUGGUAAGGUAAAGGCUUACCAAGGCGACGAUGCGUAGCCGACCUGAGAGGGUGAUCGGCCACAUUGGAACUGAGACACGGUCCAGACUCCUACGGGAGGCAGCAGUGGGGAAUAUUGCGCAAUGGGGGAAACCCUGACGCAGCAACGCCGCGUGAGUGAUGAAGGCCUUAGGGUUGUAAAGCUCUGUUAUCUGGGACGAUAAUGACGGUACCAGAGGAGGAAGCCACGGCUAACUACGUGCCAGCAGCCGCGGNAGAUUAAAACUCAAAGGAAUUGACGGGGGCCCGCACAAGCAGCGGAGCAUGUGGUUUAAUUCGAAGCAACGCGAAGAACCUUACCUAGACUUGACAUCCCAAGAAUACUGUGGAAACACGGUAGUGCCCUUCGGGGAACUUGGUGACAGGUGGUGCAUGGUUGUCGUCAGCUCGUGUCGUGAGAUGUUGGGUUAAGUCCCGCAACGAGCGCAACCCCUAUUGUUAGUUGCUACCAUUAAGUUGAGCACUCUAGCAAGACUGCCUGGGUUAACCAGGAGGAAGGUGGGGAUGACGUCAAAUCAUCAUGCCCCUUAUGUCUAGGGCUACACACGUGCUACAAUGGUCGGUACAACGAGACGCAAGACCGUGAGGUGGAGCAAAUCUCAAAAACCGAUCUCAGUUCGGAUUGUAGGCUGCAACUCGCCUACAUGAAGCUGGAGUUGCUAGUAAUCGCGAAUCAGAAUGUCGCGGUGAAUACGUUCCCGGGCCUUGUACACACCGCCCGUCACACCAUGAGAGCUGGUAACACCCGAAGUCCGUGAGGUAACCGUAAGGAGCCAGCGGCCGAAGGUGGGAUUAGUGAUUGGGGUGAAGUCGUAACAAGGUAGCCGUAGGAGAACCUGCGGCUG
rnacentral:rRNA from 1 species